rnacentral:rRNA from 1 species
AGUGAAUAGAUACCCCCGGUAGUCCCAGCCGUAAACGAUGCUCGCUAGGUGUCAGGCAUGGCGCGACCGUGUCUGGUGCCGCAGGGAAGCCGUGAAGCGAGCCACCUGGGAAGUACGGCCGCAAGGCUGAAACUUAAAGGAAUUGGCGGGGGAGCACAACAACGGGUGGAGCCUGCGGUUUAAUUGGACUCAACGCCGGACAACUCACCGGGGGGCGACAGCAAUAUGUAGGCCAAGCUGAAGACUUUGCCUGAAUCGCUGAGAGGAGGUGCAUGGCCGUCGCCAGUUCGUACUGUGAAGCAUCCUGUUAAGUCAGGCAGCGAGCGAGACCCGUGCCCACUGUUACCAGCAUGUCCUCCGGGACGAUGGGUACUCUGUGGGGACCGCCGAUGUUAAAUCGGAGGAAGGUGCGGGCCACGGUAGGUCAGUAUGCCCCGAAUCUCCCGGGCUACACGCGGGCUACAAUGGAUGGGACAAUGGGUCCUCCCCUGAAAAGGGCUGGUAAUCUCACAAACCCAUUCGUAGUUCGGAUCGA